rnacentral:rRNA from 1 species
GUAGCGGUGAAAUGCUUAGAUAUCACACAGAACACCGAUUGCGAAGGCAGCACACUAAGUCAUUAUUGACGCUGAGGCACGAAAGUGUGGGGAUCAAACAGGAUUAGAUACCCUGGUAGUCCACACUGUAAACGAUGAUAACUCGCUGUCGGCGAUACACAGUCGGUGGCCAAGCGAAAGCAUUAAGUUAUCCACCUGGGGAGUACGACCGCAAGGUUGAAACUCAAAGGAAUUGACGGGGGCCCGCACAAGCGGAGGAACAUGUGGUUUAAUUCGAUGAUACGCGAGGAACCUUACCCGGGCUCGAACGGUGCAUGAAUAUACGAGAGAUUGUAUAGUCCUUCGGGACAUGUAUCGAGGUGCUGCAUGGUUGUCGUCAGCUCGUGCCGUGAGGUGUCGGCUUAAGUGCCAUAACGAGCGCAACCCUUGUCAUUAGUUGCCAUCAGGUCAAGCUGGGGACUUUAAUGAGACUGCCACCGUAAGGUGUGAGGAAGGGGGGGAUGACGUCAAAUCAGCACGGCCCUUAUGUCCGGGGCGACACACGUGUUACAAUGGGAGGUACAGAGGGCAGCUAUCCGGUGACGGAAUGCUAAUCUCCAAAACCUUUCUCAGUUCGGAUUGGAGUCUGCAACUCGACUCCAUGAAGGUGGAUUCGCUAGUAAUCGCGCAUCAGCCAUGGCGCGGUGAAUACGUUCCCGGGCCUUGUACACACCGCCCGUCAAGCCAUGGAAGCUUGGGGUGCCUGAAGUUCGUGACCGCAAGGAGCGACCUAAGGCAAAACAGGUAACUGGGGCUAAGUCGUAANCAAGGUAACCNAAAGGGCGAAUUCNUAACUCG